GCAAGUUAACAUGCCAUUUUUCUUUACGGUUGUUUACUCAUUCUUUAUUGAGAAACCAAGUGUUCCAUAUCAGGGAUCAACAAGAGAGGAUAAAAGAUAAAAACUGCAUGCCAGGAGCUUUCAUUGGAGAACUGAGAAUUCCUAAGUGGAAAGAAAUGAAGAAUUCACUCCAAACGACACCCAUCGCACUGAGUGUGAUGCUGAGGGAGCUGGGACCUGGAGAUUGGUGAAGUGGAAUAAAGGGAAGGAUUCCAUCA